UACAGAGGUGGCGAGCGUUGUCCGGAUUUACUGGGUGUAAAGGGUGCGCAGGCGGACUGGUAAGUCAGAGGUGAAAUCUCGUCGCUUAACGACGAAACUGCCUUUGAUACUAUCAGUCUUGAGUCCGGUAGAGAUCUGUGGAAUUCCGAGUGUAGCAGUGAAAUGUGUAGAUAUUCGGAAGAACACCAGUGGCGAAGGCAGCAGAUUGGGCCGGUACUGACGCUCAGGCACGAAAGCGUGGGGAUCAAACAGG
rnacentral:rRNA from 1 species